GUCUAUGGCCAUGCCACCCUGAACGUGACUGAUCUCGUCUGAUCUCGGAAGCUAAGCAGGGUCGGGCCUGGUUAGUAGGAUGGGAGAUGACCUAGGAAUACCGGGUGCUGUAGGCG
rnacentral:rRNA from 1 species